UUUGCCCCCCCCCCCCCCCCCUCCCGUUUCCUUGGAAUCCCGUCGCUGCCUCCACACGCUCGCAGCAGCUGCCAAGGCCGGCAGGUCCCGGCGGGGCGGCCCUCAGGUGCCCGCCUGAGCGGGGAGAGCUCGGAGCAGCCCGAGCAGAGCAGGUCGGGCCUUCCCUUCUCUGUCCUUUGUUUGUUUACAGCUGCCGCUCCGAAACGCGUGAAAAACUGGAUCCUUGCUGAAGGGUUGCGGUUAGAUGACGGAACGAACUCCAUCAUCUCGUUUUGCUGAAGGACCGCCGGUAACGCGUUGCUGGCUGGGCACGAAUUCCUCCCCCCACCCCCCCAAAACUGCUUUGCAAAUAUGUUUGGCCAUCGGUGCUCGAUGCCAAGGUUGUUUUGCAACGGUUUUUUUUCUGUCCCCUCACAUCGCCGUGCUCCUCCUGAGCUGCGGAUGGGAGAGCAGCUGCUUCAGCACCUUCCUUGUGUUUUAUCAACAAGAUUCCAGUUGUUUAGUCGUGUUUUUUUUGUUGUUGUUUUUUAACUUUUCUACUUUAAUUAAAAUAACUGUAAGAUUUAGAUCAUGUGAGUAUUGGAUUUUCCUAAAUACAUUUGUAUUUAAAUCUAUGCUUAACGCCUUCUAACUCUUUGAAGAGUAACCACCAGCCGAGCCUCUGAUGCACUGCCGCUGCAAGAAGGUACUUGUGCCCAGCAACACUUUCAAUAUUCAUCAGUAAUAUGUUUAUAAGGAGAGCUCCUUGCAAAAAUGAAAAUACAGAAGGAAAUACAUUUUCAGAACAAAUCCUUUGCAUUUGCAGCCCCAGACUUAGAUCAAUCCGUUCUUAAGUUGACUUUACAGGUCUGGUGGGGUCUGUUCCAGUGCCCCACAGAAGGCCGUGCCAGAGGGGAGUGCAGUUGCUGGGGCCGCCAUUUCAGGAGGACAGAAGCAGUCCUGCAAAACCUGCCCUAGGCCGUGCUGCUGCUGCUCUGGGGCUGCAUACCUCACACACGGUCCCCAGUGAGCCUCCAUGGCGUGCUGGGAGAUUUGAAAACCGCAGCUUCUUGCUGGAAAUUCAGAUGGCUCAACCUCCUGGGGACUGUAACUGCAAGGAAGCCCCGAACAUAAGACUUCUACACUUCAGAGUACCUGGCUACACAGAUAUCAGACUGCAAUUUCUGACAAGCAAGACAUAGGAAAAUCCCUGUGAAUUAAGGAUGAGAAACCCUGUAUCUUCAGUCAGAUUUCCUCAUUCAUUGACAAGAGCUGUUUCACAGUGAAAUACAGGGCUUUUCCACUGCUUCCCAUUGAAGAGCCCAUUGAACAGAAGUUCAGUUAAUGCUUCCUAUUACUACAGCACACUUUAUUCUUCCUGGUAAAAGCUGAAAAGCACUGGUAGUACAGUGGAAUGAGAUGUGAAGAAUGCUACAGUGACAUACAAUAUCUAUUGCUGCUUGUAUACGUACAUCCAUGAACCCUAAUAAACACAUGCACAUAAAUCCUGAGAAUUUUUUUUUUUUUAAACCAAGCAGUGCAUUUCUACAAUGCUGUGUCUUUCUGCAUAGCCUGUAAAAUAAAGCAAUGCUGGCGUACAGCACUGUUUUCAGAACUUUUUAAGAAAAAAAGAUUAAAAAAAAAUCAAAUUAAAAGAAUGUUACUCUGCUGGCUACUUACAUUCUUGCCACAAGCAAAUACACACAUAUACACAAACAUUUCUAUUCUCCUUUCAUAAAGGGAAUAAGCAAGG